rnacentral:rRNA from 1 species
GACGAACGCUGGCGGCGUGCCUAAUACAUGCAAGUAGAACGCUGAAGCUUGGUGCUUGCACCGAGCGGAUGAGUUGCGAACGGGUGAGUAACGCGUAGGUAACCUGCCUGGUAGCGGGGGAUAACUAUUGGAAACGAUAGCUAAUACCGCAUAAUAGUAGAUGUUGCAUGACAUUUGCUUAAAAGGUGCAAUUGCAUCACUACCAGAUGGACCUGCGUUGUAUUAGCUAGUUGGUGAGGUAACGGCUCACCAAGGCAACGAUACAUAGCCGACCUGAGAGGGUGAUCGGCCACACUGGGACUGAGACACGGCCCAGACUCCUACGGGAGGCAGCAGUAGGGAAUCUUCGGCAAUGGACGGAAGUCUGACCGAGCAACGCCGAGUGAGGGAAGAAGGUUUUCGGAUCGUAAAGCUCUGUUGUAAGAGAAGAAAGAGUGUGAGAGUGGAAAGUUCACACUGUGACGGUAGCUUACCAGAAAGGGACGGCUAACUACGUG